rnacentral:rRNA from 1 species
AACAGGAUUAGAUACCCUGGUAGUCCACGCCGUAAACGAUGUCGACUAGCCGUUGGGUCCCUUGAGGACUUAGUGGCGCAGUUAACGCGAUAAGUCGACCGCCUGGGGAGUACGGCCGCAAGGUUAAAACUCAAAUGAAUUGACGGGGGCCCGCACAAGCGGUGGAGCAUGUGGUUUAAUUCGAUGCAACGCGAAGAACCUUACCUACCCUUGACAUCCUGCGAACCCGGAAGAGAUUCCGGGGUGCCUUCGGGAGCGCAGAGACAGGUGCUGCAUGGCUGUCGUCAGCUCGUGUUGUGAAAUGUUGGGUUAAGUCCCGUAACGAGCGCACCCCUUGUCCCUAUUUGCCAGCGAUUCGGUCGGGAACUCUAGGGAGACUGCCGGUGACAAACCGGAGGAAGGUGGGGACGACGUCAAGUCAUCAUGGCCCUUACGGGUAGGGCUACACACGUGCUACAAUGGCCGGUACAAAGGGUUGCGAAGCCGCGAGGUGAAGCCAAUCCCAGAAAGCCGGCCUCAAUCCGGAUUGGAGUCUGCAACUCGACUCCAUGAAGUCGGAAUCGCUAGUAAUCGUGCAUCAGAAUGGCACGGUGAAUACGUUCCCGGGCCUUGUACACACCGCCCGUCACACCAUGGGAGUGGACUGCACCAGAAGUGGUUAGCCUAACUUCGGAGGGCGAUCACCACGGUGUGGUUCAUGACUGGGGGUGAAGUCGUAACAAGGUAACC